AGCAGAGGGUGGAAAGAGAGGAGAGAAGGAUAAUUCCGAUUUCCCAGGAAUGUAGUCUCUCGGCCACUGAGAUUCCCUAAAUCGGCAUCUGCAGUGAACAGGGGAUUAACUGCUUGCAGUCAUGAUGCGGCUGUGAUGAUGUGUACGGUAUUCUCAGCUAGGCUGGUCUGAGACUCCACUGACGACAGCACCUCUGCAGAAGAUUUCCACUGUGGUGGCUUGCUCACAAAUAACUCGGGC